AUACGGAGGGAGCGAGCGUUAUUCGGAAUCACUGGGCGUAAAGGACGCGUAGGCGGGUUUGUAAGUCAGGUGUGAAAUCCUACAGCUCAACUGUAGAACUGCACUUGAAACUACAGACCUAGAGUAUGGAAGGGGCAGAUGGAAUUAGUGGUGUAGGGGUAAAAUCCGUAGAUAUCACUAGGAAUACCGAAAGCGAAGGCGAUCUGCUGGGACAUUACUGACGCUGAGGCGUGAAAGCGUGGGGAGCAAACAGGAUUAGAAACCCGAGUAGUCC
rnacentral:rRNA from 1 species